AUGGCGAAAUUCAUCUCCAGAGCUUCGACGGGCUGCAGGCGGAAGGCGCUGGAAGGGGCUCGGGGCGACCGGGCGGGAGGCUGCGGGCCGAGGAAGACCAGUGGGUACUCGCGGGAACUCGCUCGCCGCCACGACGCGCCCAGCACCUCCGAGCGACUGACCGACCUCCACGCGCGUCCCGAACACACUGCCACCGCCACCGCCGCCGCCGCCGCGCGCGCUCGCGCCGCACUCCCUCGCACGUCACCACGUGCGCUGCCGCCAACGCCUCCCGGCCGCUUCCGGCUCUGAUGCCUGAGCGAAUCACAGGCGAGCUCCCGGGAAGAUCCCGCUCUGAGGCUCCGCCCCCGGACAGGGCCCCGCCCACCUCAUAG
ensembl:antisense Gm10138 predicted gene 10138